GUGACGGUGGUUCAGUAAUAGAAUGCUGGUCUGUCACGCGGGCGGCCCGGGUUCGAUUCCCGGCCGAUGUA